rnacentral:rRNA from 1 species
AUUACGUCCCUGCCCUUUGUACACACCGCCCGUCGCUACUACCGAUUGAAUGGCUUAGUGGGACUUUCGGAUGUGUUUGGAGCCGCUGGCAACAGUGACACCUUGCGCAGAAGUUAUUCAAACUUGGUCAUUUAGAGGAAGUAAAAGUCGUAACAAGGUUUCCGUAGGUGAACCUGCGGAAGGAUCAUUA